rnacentral:misc_RNA from 1 species
GAUGAAGAACGCCAGCGAAAUGCGAUAAGUAAUGCGAAUUGCAGAAUUCCAGUGAGUCAUCGAAUCUUUGAACGCACAUUGCGCCCGCCAGUAUUCUGGCGGGCAUGCCUGUCUGAGCGUCAUUUCAACCCUCAUGCCCCUAGGGCGUGGUGUUGGGGAUCGGCCAAAGCCCGCGAGGGACGGCCGGCCCCUAAAUCUAGUGGCGGACCCGUCGUGGCCUCCUCUGCGAAGUAGUGAUAUUCCGCAUCGGAGAGCGAUGAGCCCCUGCCGUUAAACCCCCAACUUUCCAAGGUUGACCUCAGAUCAGGUAGGAAUACCCGCUGAACUUAAGCAUAUCAAUAAGCGGAGGA